UCUAGGAUCCGGGCGGGUGCGGGUUCUGUCGUUUCUCAGCUUCGGGUCUAAAGCCAAUUAACACCUGCCUCGGGGACCUAGGUUAGUUAGUUGGCUCUGCCCAGACAGCGCCUUGACUGUUGCAUGAGGCUUCUGUCACGCGCCUUGGGGGUCAGCUCAAGGAUGGCUUUUGUCAUCCUCACAGAAAGAAGUUCAGUUUUCUCGGCCUUAGAAGAUCGCGCUUUGGUGGAACAAAACAUUAAAACAACCCUGAUAGGGUCGCUGCGGAGAAGGUAUUCAGCUGAACGCCUCUCAGAGCAGGCCCUGCGGAGCAAUACUGCUGAGCUCUCCAGUAGGAAGGCCAUGAACACAUCUGGUUGAUAGAAGUUGUAGAACAUCUCAGGAAGAGGUGUCGUUUGGGCCAGACCUUACAGAGGCUAAGGUGAUUUCAACAAACAGGAAAUGAGAAGACAGAAUAUUCCAGUCUCGGGAAAGGUGCAAGGUCUUGCUGUAGACAUUUGUUUCAGCCACUACUCGUGACACAUUUACUGCAGGUGACACUUCUUUUUGCUGGAAGGAGAAGAGUAAAAGUAACAUUGAGAGGAAGUGGAGAAGGAUUGGAAUUCUCAAGCUCAGUGCCUGGAAAAGCAUUCUUGUGGAGUCAGAGAGCACGCAGGCAGCUGCAGAUGUGUUUCACGUAUCAAGACUCUCAGAAAAUAAACUCUGCAACAGGCCAAAGAAGAUGACCUAACACCAUCUAUCCCUGGACUGAGAAACCAGAUGUAAAAGAAUAUCCACGCUAUCUCACUUAAGCAGCUGCCUGUCCUGAGUAUUGCCAUUAGUACCCGAAGAAUGGAGAAGGAAAGACAGAUUUCAAGACCAGUGAUGUCUUGGAUAAUCAGCACGUAGUUAUGUAAUUAUAGGAAUUCAAGGCUUAUAGGCUUAAGUAAAACUGCUUUUGAAGUAUAGAAAUUAGUGGGUAACCCCUGUAAGGAAUCUGAUUUUUUCCCCUUUCUGGCAGUACCAGGGAUUGAACCUAAGACUUCACAAAUCCUGGGUAGGCACUGAACCACUAAGCUACAGCCCCACCCCUAUGAAUAUAUUUUUUUAAAGCACAA